GACGAACGCUGGCGGCGUGGAUUAGGCAUGCAAGUCGAACGGUAUCAUCCUUUCGGGGGUGAGAGAGUGGCGAACUGGUGAGUAACACGUAGGUUAUCUACCCUCAAGACGGGGACAACCCAGGGAAACUUGGGCUAAUACCGGAUGUGAGCAACUUUUAGUUGUUUGAAAGGUGGCGUAAGCUGUCGCUUGGGGAUGAGCCUGCGUCCUAUUAGUUAGUUGGUGAGGUAACGGCUCACCUAGGCAAUGAUAGGUAGGCGGCCUUAACGGGUGGUCGCCCACACUGGGAUUGAGAUACGGCCCAGACUCCUACGGGAGGCAGCAGUCGAGAAUAGUCUACAAUGGUCGGAAGACUGAUAGUGCGACGCCGCGUGAACGAUGAAUCCCUUCGGGGUUAAAGUUCUUUUAUAUGUGAGCAGUGCUUCUUAUAUUAACAGUAUGGGGAAGAGAUAUUGCAUAUGAAUAAGCAACGGCUAACUCCGUGCCAGCAGCCGCGGUAA
rnacentral:rRNA from 1 species